GUUCCCUUUGGCAGCACAUAUACUAAAACUGGAACAAAACAGAGAAGAAUAGCAUGGCUCCUGCACAAGGAUGACAUACAAAUUCAUGAAGCAUUUCAUAUUUUU